AACGCUGGCGGCGCGCUUAACACAUGCAAGUCGAACGAGAACCAUUCCUUCGGGAAUGGGGAAAGUGGCGAACGGGUGAGUAACACGUGGGUAAUCCACCCUCGGCACCGGAAUAGCCCGGGGAAACUCGGAUUAAUGCCGGAUAGCCCCACGGGCUCUAUGGCCUGUGAGAAAAGGGAGCUUAGGCCUCUGGCCGAGGACGAGCAGGCGGCGGAUUAGCUAGUUGGCGGGGUAAUGGCCCACCAAGGCGACGAUCCGUAGCUGGUCUGAGAGGACGAUCAGCCACACUGGGACUGAGACACGGCCCAGACUCCUACGGGAGGCAGCAGUUGGGAAUCUUGCGCAAUGGGCGAAAGCCUGACGCAGCGACGCCGCGUGUGGGAAGAAGGCCUUCGGGUUGUAAACCACUUUCAGGAGGGACGAAGCUACUCGGGUGAACAGCCCAGAGGGUGACGGUACCUUCAGAAGAAGCCCCGGCUAACUACGUGCCAGCAGCCGCGGUAA
rnacentral:rRNA from 1 species